AGUGAACGCUGGCGGUAGGCCUAACACAUGCAAGUCGAACGGCAGCACAGUAAGAGCUUGCUCUUACGGGUGGCGAGUGGCGGACGGGUGAGGAAUACAUCGGAAUCUACUUUUUCGUGGGGGAUAACGUAGGGAAACUUACGCUAAUACCGCAUACGACCUACGGGUGAAAGCAGGGGAUCUUCGGACCUUGCGCGAUUGAAUGAGCCGAUGUCGGAUUAGCUAGUUGGCGGGUUAAAGGCCCACCAAGGCGACGAUCCGUAGCUGGUCUGAGAGGAUGAUCCGCCACACUGGAACGGAGACACGGUCCAGCCGCCUAGGGGGGGCAGCGGUGGGGAAUAUUGGAAAAGGGGGGCAAGCCUGAUCCAGCCAUACCGCGGGGGGGAAGAAGGCCUUCGGGUUGUAAAGCCCUUUUUGUGGGAAAAAAAAGCAGCGGGUUAAUACCCCGCUGUUCGGCCGGUACCCAAAAAAUAAGCACCGGCUAAUUUCGU
rnacentral:rRNA from 1 species